CCUACGGGAGGCAGCAGUAGGGAAUCUUUCACAAUGGGCGAAAGCCUGAUGGAGCAACGCCGCGUGCAGGAUGAAGGCCUUCGGGUUGUAAACUGCUUUUAUAAGCGAGAAAUAUGAUGGUAACUUAUGAAUAAGGAUCGGCUAACUACGUGCCAGCAGCCGCGGUCAUACGUAGGAUCCGAGCAUUAUCCGGAGUGACUGGGUGUAAAGAGUUUCGUAGGUGGCAUAAUAAGUAGCUAGUGAAAUCUGGUGGCUCAACCAUUCAGACUAUUAGCUAAACUGUUAAGCUCGAGACCGUUAGGGGUAACUGGAAUUUCUAGUGUAGGAGUGAAAUCCGUAGAUAUUAGAAGGAACACCAAUAGCGUAGGCAGGUUGCUGGGACGGUUCUGACACUAAGGCACGAAAGCGUAGGGAGCAAACGGGAUUAGAUACCCCUGUAGUC
rnacentral:rRNA from 1 species